GAAGUCUCUCAUCCCCACUCACCUCACAGAGUGUUUGUUGUGGGGGAGGAAGGAAAGGAGAAUGUUAGCCGCUUUGAGACUCCUGAAGGGGAGUGAAAGGCGGGAUAUCAAAUCCAAACUCCUCUUCUUCUUCUUCUUCUUCUUCUUCUUCUUCUUCUUCUUCUUCCUUUCCCUUCCUCCCCCACAACAAACACUCUGUGAGGUGAGUGGGGCUGAGAGACUUC